rnacentral:lncRNA from 1 species
UCACAGGCAGUGCAGCCCAUAGAUGUGAAUUACCAAAUCUCCUGUGUGUCUUGGUUUUUUAGCAGCUCAUGCACCUGACCAUGAAGAGACAACCAGGUGAUGCUCAACAGAAUUGAAAACUGAUCAUAAAAGAUGGAAGAAAAAAAAAAAAAAGGAAGAAAAUGCUUAUUGAAGUUUGUACCUUUUUCAGUGAAGAUAAUGGCUCGGCUUCUCUUCAUAGAUUUUUAUUCUGUACUCACAGGUAGUGAGAAGUUCAGUGACAUCCAGAAAGACAUUGUCCAGAAAGACAAGUGACAUUCAGACAUUCUGAAUGUCUGGCUUGCUGUUUGCUCUUUCCUAGCAAGAGAAAGCCAAGGACUUGGCUUGGUAGGUCAUGGGUUGAAAUGCACAGUGUUUCUGUCUUUAAUCAACAUAUAAGAAACAAAUAUUGGUAUCUCCCCAAGGCAUUGAAGGAAAUAAUGACAAUCAGAAUAGCUGAGGAUCUGACAGAUUGGGUACAGUGCUGAAAGUGGAUCAGAGGGGAAGAAAGGUUGUGUAGGGUGGUGGAGGCUGGACUUGUCUCCUAGUUCUACACUCUCACUUAGUCCAUGUCAGAGAGCUGUGCUGAGCCCCACUUCUCACUUCAUUGAACAAGCCCCAUUUUCUGUGGCAGAGUAUGGAAGAAUUCAACAAAUAACAUUUCCAGCAUACUUCUGAAGGGACCCUAUGAGCAUGAAGCAUUAGUGCUGCUGUUGUUAUGAUUAAGAACAGAGUCUGCUGCUGAAUAAUUCAUUUGAUGUGAAAAACAGCCAGCAAGUUGUUGAACAAAAAUGAUGUACAAUGAGACAUAAUUACAGAGUGGUUGCAGAGAGCAGGAUGCAGAUGGAGCUCUCAGGUUGGUUGCUGGUGACAUCAGAGCAUGGACAAGCACAGAUGCGUGUUGGGCUGCAUACUUCAUUUUCAAAUUAUUGUAUCACUUUGCCUUUAACUUUUGAGAUACUCAAGGACUGCCUCAUUUGGAGGGAUCAUUUCUGGUGGAGAAAGUGGACCCCAGUUUUUUAGUACUUACCAUUACUGAUGGUAAUGGCUCUAGAAAUAGUAAGUACUACUGGCUGGGAGGCACUGUCUUGUCACAUCAAUACUGGUUUUCUUGACAGGAGAAAUGGUUAGAACUGCUAAGUCCUCACAGACAUAUCAUGUUGUGGACACCAAAACUUUUUGCAGCAAAUUUUAAAAAUUGGAAGGAGAUUCUGUGCCUCAGAUUCCUGCUUGUAAAAAGAUACCCACAUUCACAGAGCCCAGCCUGCAGUGUGGGAGCUUUAGAGCUGUCUCUGUUCUUCAUCAAAUCACACAGGAAAAGCUUUCUCUGCCUUGGCUUGGGAAGGAAAUUAAUCCCUCUCUACUCUGCUUUCUUAACCCCCCUCCACCUGGAGUACUGCAUCCAGCUCUGGAGUCCCCAGCAUAAGAAGGACAUGGAUGUGUUGGAGCAGGUCCAGAGAAGGGCCGUGAAGAUGACCAGAAGGCUGGAGCAUCAGCAAAAAACAGACACUAAAUCAAAAACUAAACCAGAAACUUAGAUCUAUUUCAGCCAAUUUGUCAUCAGAAUUAAACAAACAACCAGAUCUUCCAGAUACUACUGACAGAUUCAAGUCUGGCUUGGGAGACUGAAAGAUCUCUCCUGUAUCCCAGGUCUCUGGCUAUUUCUGACCUGUAAGCCAGAUUCAAGGGAUGGGGAGCUUGGAAGAUAUGGAUGGCUUAGAGCCAGGGAGAGAAAGUGGAACACAAGAAGAGGCUUUAUCAUGCAUUUCCUAUAUAAUAGCCAAAAUACCCUUCUGUUCUUUCUCAUAUAUCCUAGAGAGAACACAACUGAAGUGUGAAGAAUUGUUUAAUGGAUUUAGUAAUAGUAUUGAUCUUCUGUCAUUUAAAAAGGGACUCAGGGCUUAAUCAGAUCUGUAGAAGUGUCUCAUUAUUUACUUUGCCAAAGGAAAGGAUUAGAUAUCAGAGAAAGAAAAGGCCCUUCUGCAGGCACGGGUUUACUCCGCAGGAUGAAAAUUCAUUCCAUUUACUCUUACCUGCAUAUGUGUUUAAAUAGGAAAGAACCCAAACAACUCUCUGUGAGAUUCUGCCUGGAGGAAUCAGUACAGUAGCAAUAAACAGAGGUAGGCUCAGCAACACAGCAAGUUGACUCUUAGAUUUCCAACACCCUGAUUUAGCUCCUGUCGGAACUCAAAAGGUCCCUCAGACAUUUUUGGAUAUUCCAGGCCCAGGUCAGAAGCAUUUGAGGCCCUGUCAGGCAGCUGGAAACAGCUGUGAUUU